rnacentral:rRNA from 1 species
UACGGAGGGGGCUAGCGUUAUUCGGAAUUAUUGGGCGUAAAGGGCGCGUAGGCGGCCCGGUAAGUCAAAGGUGAAAUCCCUCGGCUCAACUGAGGAACUGCCUUUGAAACUGUCGGGCUUGAGGCCGGGAGGGGGUAGCGGAAUUCCCAGUGUAGCGGUGAAAUGCGUAGAUAUUGGAAGGAACACCAGUGGCGAAGGCGACUAUCUGGACAGAUACUGACACUGAGACACGAAAGCGUGGGGAGCAAACAGG